UUAGGUUUGUAUCAAAAUUUUAAAAAUCACAAACACAUAGUAACAGUAAGUAAACACUUGUGUGGAUCAGCAACUGAUUUAACUCUUAGAUGUCUAACCAGAUAUCACUUGGAACGUUCAACAGUCACACCUCCUAUAGCUACACCUCCUUUAUCUGGCAUUAUAAUAGCACUGUGCUGUCAUCAACGCUGUCAAUGGGAUAGUAUAUAUGGAAUUGAGCUAUGGAAAGAACUGGGGUUCAAUUCAAUUGAUUUCCACUUGAUAACACUAAUGAGUAGCUGGGCAGUAUGUGGUCAGCGAUCAGCAGAUAAAGAUACUAAAGGUUACAUUCCUCAUGCUAAAGAACCAAUGGGAUUAAAAUGUAAGGAGCUAAUUAAUCUAAUACGUGUACAUGAACUACGCAAGAACGGUUUCCAAACUCAUCUCUUGUAUUAUGUAGAUAGGAGAACUUCAUUAGAGAAUGUGUUAUUGAUAGCUCUACCUCAUUAAUAUUCAUGCAUGGGCGUGGCUCAUGAAUAUCUUAAUUAUAUUCAUUGAUUGUAAA